UACGUAGGGUGCAAGCGUUGUCCGGAAUUAUUGGGCGUAAAGAGCUCGUAGGCGGUUCGUCGCGUCGGCUGUGAAAACCUGAGGCUCAACCUCAGGCCUGCAGUCGAUACGGGCGGACUUGAGUACUGCAGGGGAGACUGGAAUUCCGGUGUAGAGGUGAAAUUCGUAGAUAUCGGGAGGAACACCGGUGGGCGAAGGCGGCGAUCUGGGUCGAUACGUGACGCUGAGGUGACGAAAGCGUGGGGAGGCAAACAGG
rnacentral:rRNA from 1 species